CUAAUUUACUCAAAUCAACUCAUACAAGAUGGAUUCAGGUCAGAUGUGUGCAGUUAAAUGGCUUAUACUUAGCAUAUGUAUUUAGCGCUUAUCUACCUUCCUUGAAGGCCCAAAGCGCUUUACAGUCACAGUCCCAUUCACCCAAUCACACACACACUUUAACACACUAAUGGCAGCUCCACUGCCAAACAUUGGCGCCAACCUUCCACCAGAGGCAAGGUGGGGUUCAGUGUCUUGCCCAUGGACACGUUGACAUAUGGGCGGGCAAUGUGGGAAUCAAACCUGCAAUCUUCAGAUGACAGUUCGACUGCCCUACCACUGCACCGUUACUGUCAAAAUUAAGUGGAUUUGUAAAAAAAAAAAGCUCAUACAUGCUCUUUCACAGAUUCUAAAGUCUUUUUAAAGCCAGCAGAUGUGUGUGCACAUGAGAACGUGUGACAGAUGGAGUGUUCCAUGGUCAUCGUGGAAACUAGCAGGCAGAACUAUAUGCCUCAGGGGAUAGACUUUCAGUAAUGACUGAAAACGUUCUCAAAGGUGACAUGAGGACUUUCAUUUAUUCACUAACUUUGUACUCUCUGUACUUUUAUGGUUAACAUGUUGCAUCCUAUUCCAGCAGGGGUUGCUACAAUUGUAGUCCACGUUUCCGUAAUAAAAAAAUAAAAUAUUCAUCUUUUUUUCUCCUUUAUUUUCUUCAGAGUUUGCCGGGGCCUCCUGGACUGAGAGGUCCAACUGUAAGACUUCUUUUUUCCUAAUGACCUAACACAACUGCAAUGCAGAUGCUCUUGAUAUGAAGUCGUGUAAAAGGAUGUGCUGAAACAAGAAUGUACUAUAUUUAGGAAAACCCACAGGAUUUUUCUCUAUGCAGGGCUUCCGUGGCCCUGAUGGUCCUCAAGGUUUUCCAGGUCCAAGUGGACCUGAAGGAUUCCCGGGCCUCCCCGGUCCUCCUGGCCCCCCAGGCCCAAUAGAAACCGGCUUUGACGGACAGGGAGCAGGAGAAAAGGGAGAUAAGGGCGACGUGGGUCUUCCCGGACCCAGUGGUGCUCCCGGAAGCGGGUCUCUAACAGCCCCAAAAAUUCUCACUAUCUACAAGGGAGAUAAGGUAACAGCAGUAAGGGAAGGGGCAAGCAGCAGCACUUUUACACAUGCACCCCGUGUGCACACACACACACACACACACACACACAUGCACAUAUGA
rnacentral:lncRNA from 1 species